UUUUGAACAUGAUGUUGAAUUACGUUGUACUUUGAAUGUUGGUCAAGUGGGCUCUUAUUUUGUUUUUUGUUUUUUUGCGUAGAACCUGCUCUCGUUAACUUGGAACGCAUUUUUAUAUAAAUUAAGAGUGAUCUGUUAUGCAAAAUUGCUUGUUCGGAAGUCGAGUAAUUAAGCACAAGGUGGGUGAGGAAGAUUCCAGAAGCAUGGAAUCUUGCUUUCGUCCGUGGUUCUUGAAACAGUAGCUAGCUUGAUUUGACAAUGUCCGGGGGAUCCAACUUUAAUUUUAACUGUUUCCGCCGCCAUUGUGACUGGAGCUUUUCUCAGGUACCAUCGCGUGUCAUUCUGAUUCAUCGUAAAUUCAUUUAAAACUGUUUAAAAUUCCAAGCCGUUAUUAAAAUUUUAUACGUUAACAAACUUAAAAAUACCGUUGUAUUUAGUACAUUUUUCCCAGUUUAAUUUAUUCGUGGAUUUUAAUAAUCAUUGAACACCUUUUGAAAUGUGCCAAAAAUCUUGGUCUCCACAGGAACUGGGAAUAGCUGAGGUUGGAAAUAAUUCAACAGAAACAUCCAAAUAAGCAGUACAAACUUUUAUUGGCCCAAACAGAACAAUCUGGAAGAGACAAAACUUUUAGCUUCUUAAAAUUAUUGAUGGGCCGUCUAAAAAAAAUGGCUGAUGUAACUUACGAGAAAGAAGGCCAAAACUUGUCACAAACACUAGCAAGUCCUUUAUUAGAUUUCUUCAGCCAAAUUAUUUCUCUUAAGUAUAGGAUUGUCACUGGGGCAAGCUUGAAAACCAAAACAAAUUUCUCUAAUUAAGACAUGUUCUUGCAUGGGUCAGCGAAGGAUCAAUUCUGCAUUUGUUGUCCCUUUAAGCUAUUACGCUGGUUGGCUUGUGGACCAGGUAGCUGUAUGGUAUGGUACCAUAGCUUGAUUUUAGGUGGAGCUAGUUAACUUGUGAUAUUUGACAUGUAUUAAAGCAUGUUUGAAUACCACACAAAACUGGUUUUGAGGUGAUGGUUCGGAUCCCACCUACAUGGAAACCAAAGAUCGCCCUGUGGAAUUUCAAAUAGCUCUUGAUCUUAUCAAGGCAGUCUUUUAUACCGGUUAAAAUCUGUUAGAUCAAAUUAAAAUACUACAAGCUUUUGAAUACAAUUACGAGACGAACCUUUUAAGUCGUUUGGGGUCGACUGCAAACAUGAACAGAAUUUUGAUUGAGGAUCAAGUCAGUCGAAUUCGGAAGGUCCGGGAGUGUUACAAGAUGGAAGGUUGGUCAUUCUUCACGGAUUUAAAAAAUCAUUAACGCGUCGAUGGCCACCAGUACACCUGUUAUCUCUACCCAGCUCCUACUCGAUAACUACUGGGAAUAUGUACUGAGAGUAAAAGGAAAGAUUAAAAAAAAAAAGAAUCCUCGGAGAACUAAUUUAAUUGAUUCAUGUGAAAUCAGUAUGUCUUUUCAGAAGACUCUUGCCAGAAUUUCUACAGGAAAAUACCAAACGAUGAAUUUAUGUAUCACAUUAAUAGUAAUAGGAGAUCUGUAAGGUUUCUGUUUGAGAUAAUAUACCGAAAAAUGUCGAAUUUCCUCACUUUA